GGACACAGAUCAAGGAAGCAAGCAAUCCAACUCCAUUAGAAUUAAUUCCACGCUAAAUGACUGACACACAGUUCUCAAACAUGGAGGUGGGAGUAGGAGUUCUACUUAAAGAGAGACUGCAGGACAUCCCUAUCACAGCUGGCACCUAAUCUGGAAGGAAUCCAAUCACUGUGACCUCUGUGUACUUGUUCCACUACUCAGUAUGUACAAUGAACCAGAAAUCGUAAAACAGAAAUCAGAUUUGGAAAAGGAUUAUACUGAAUGCCUACCGUUGUAUCUCAUAAGCAACAAAAGCUUUUUUCUGAAAGAUGAGGAGACUUCUCCUGAUGGGAAGAAAGAAAAAGGGAAUCGUGUACUGUAAUGAGAAGGAUGAAGAACAUGAAUCAAGCUGUCUCACAUGAAGGCAUAUACAAGUUAUUAUAACUGUGAAUCACACAGUAGGUGAAGCUCUAUGCCAAGAAUAGCAAGGAAUGUGAAGUGAGAAGAGAACAGCGAUUUCAUAUUGAAAGCAGCAAAACAAAAGUAAAAAUCAAGCCUAUCCAAACCAUAGAGUUUCUGAAAGCCAUGUUUCAAGCUCUUUGACUUUUAUUUACAAAUCCCAUAACAUGAUUCUUUCAUGGUUUUAUGUUAUAGAAUGUUUUAUUGUCUAGCUGAAAGUAUUCAUCAAAAUCACCAAUAUAAUUUAUUGUUGUA